GGGAGAAAAACCCCCACACCUUUGGUCACAGAAGGCUUCUGUGUUGAUGUUCGUUGUGAUGAUGUGAGAGCAGAGGAAAAAGAGAAAGCAGGAGUUUUCUUAUCAGUGAAAUAAGUACAAUAUUGCUCAUGUGAGUGGAAUAGUCCCACUGUUGGAAACAUCUCUUGCAAAGGCUCAGCCUAGGUAUGUAAUGGUCCCUUAUUACUCAUCCCUAAAUGAAGGCAUUAAAAUAUG
rnacentral:lncRNA from 10 species